rnacentral:rRNA from 1 species
AACGAACGCUGGCGGCGUGCCUAACACAUGCAAGUCGAACGAGAAGUACGUAGCAAUACGUAUUGUAAAGUGGCGCACGGGUGAGUAACACGUGGGUAAUCUGCCCUUGAGUUUGGGAUAACCCCGCGAAAGCGGGGCUAAUACCGAAUAAGACCACGGGGACCAAAGUCCCUGAGGUAAAAGACGGCCUCUAUUUAUAAGCUGUCACUCGGGGAUGAGCCCGCGGCCCAUUAGCUAGUUGGCAGGGAAACGGCCUACCAAGGCGAUGAUGGGUAGCUGGUCUGAGAGGACGAUCAGCCACACUGGAACUGAGACACGGUCCAGACUCCUACGGGAGGCAGCAGUGGGGAAUAUUGCGCAAUGGGCGAAAGCCUGACGCAGCAACGCCGCGUGGGGGAUGAAGGUUCUCGGAUUGUAAACCCCUUUCGAUCGGAACGAAUCUCCUCCUGGUGAAUAAUCAGGAGGAUCGACGGUACCGGGAGAAGAAGCCACGGCUAACUCUGUGCCAGCCGCCGCGGUAAAAC